GUUUACCAAAAACAUGGCUUCUUGUGGUAUCAAAAAAUAGGGAGUCGGACCUGCCCGGUGAGGUGAUCUUUAACGGCCGCGGUACUCUGACCGUGCAAAGGUAGCAUAAUCAUUUGCCUUAUAAUUGAAGGCUGGUAUGAAUGGUUUGACAAGAAUAUAGCUGUCUCUUUGCUGAUUUGAUAGAAUUUUAUUUCUAGGUGAAAAAGCCUAGAUUUGAUUAAAAGACAAGAAGACCCUAUCGAGCUUGAAAGAAUUUGACGGAUAAAUUUUAACUUAUAGGUUUUAUAUAAAGUGAAGCUGUUAAAGAUUUUGGUUGGGGCGACUGAGGAACAUGUAAAGCUUCCUUCAUUGAAUUUUAGGUGUACAAGCAUUGAUCCAAAUUUAUUGAUUAAGGGAAUUAGUUACCGUAGGGAUAACAGCAUUAUCUUUCUUGAGAGUUCAUAUCGAAAGAAGGGUUUGUGACCUCGAUGUUGGACCAGAGUGUCCUAAAGAUGCAGAAGUCUUUAAGGGUUGGUCUGUUCGACCAUUAAAACUCUACGUGAUCUGAGUUCAGACCGG
rnacentral:rRNA from 1 species